AAGUCGUAACAAGGUGAACCUGCGGAAGGAUCAUUAACACGUAUCCAAACGUUAAAACCCCCCCGUGAACAUUGAUUCCUGCUCUUGUAACCCGCGAAGCUUGCAAUCUCUGGUAAAUCAUAGCCCGGAAAGUAGUUUUGAUUCAGAGACCUCUGGCCCGAGCGGUAGUUCUAUAGGCCUUGUUUCCCCAAGCAGUCAGUGUCUGAAAGUGUCAGUGAUUGUGCAAGGAUAACGCUUCACGAUUCUUGUAGACCGCAUCUCGCGGGCAGGAGCUAGGCCAAAGGGUCCCCAUGCCCCCUUACAACCCCACAGUUAAAUGUGAAGCUCAAUGUAAUACAUUGGGUAAAAAACCGAACAACUGUUAACAAUGGAUAUCUUGGUUCUC
rnacentral:misc_RNA from 1 species